AAAAUAUAUGUGUUGCUUUCUUGAUUACUUUUUUUUUUCUUUAGUUGAAUUUCAUGCAAUUUCUCGUUUUUUCCGUUCGUGAUAUCUUGAUCUAUGGUAUGAAUGUCCGAUGUGCAAUUUCAUGAUGAGAAUGCCACUGUUUGUGUGUGUGUUUCGCUGUUUUCAACAUGACUUGUUAAUUUCUUGCCUUGCAAGUAUUGCAUUUCUCUUUGUAUUGUGGUUAUUGUCGUUAUUUUACCGUUUACCCUAUAUUCCUUUGUUUGCUCUCUUUGCCAUAUUUUCAUGCCUUAUUUUACUAACCAUUUUUUGUUCUAUGUCUCAUCCAUUUUAUAGCAUUUCAUCAUUUCAUUCCUAUUCAUUUUUAUGUUAAGUGGACAUGUAAUAGUUCUAGGUAGUUUAAUUUCCUUUUAAUUUCUUGCAAGACCAUAGCAUGUAAACUAGGGCAAAGUGUAAAGGACAA
rnacentral:lncRNA from 1 species